UGGGGGAUAUUGCACAAUGGGCGAAAGCCUGAUGCAGCGACGCCGCGUGGGGGAUGAAGGCCUUCGGGUUGUAAACUUCUUUUGCUCUGAACAAGGCGCACCAUGGGGUGUGUUGAGUGUAGGGGUUGAUUAGCGCCGGCUAACUACGUGCCAGCAGCCGCGGUAAUACGUAGGGCGCGAGCGUUGUCCGGAAUUAUUGGGCGUAAAUGGCUUGUAGGUGGCUGGUUGCGUCUGUCGUGAAAGCUCAUGGCUUAACUGUGGGUUGGCGGUGGGUACGGGCUGGCUUGAGUGCAGUAGGGGAGGCUGGAAUUCCUGGUGUAGCGGUGGAAUGCGCAGAUAUCAGGAGGAAUACCGGUGGCGAAGGCGGGUCUCUGGGCUGUUACUGACACUGAGGAGCGAAAGCAUGGGGAGCGAACAGG
rnacentral:rRNA from 1 species